rnacentral:rRNA from 1 species
AUGGCCUAACGGCUGAACCAGCAACUUGCAGGAAUGAGGGUUAAUAUAAAAUAUUUAUUAACUUGCUUGACUAGGUCUUAUAAAGUUCUGGAUAAAGCUGAUAAUGACAACUUUAUAUCCAUAGGUCUCGACUAAAUCUUGUGCCAGCAGUCGCGGUAAGACAAGGGAGACGAGUGUUAUUCAUCUUGAACAGGUAUAUUGGGUACCUAGACUGUGUAUGAAGGCUUUUAUAGUACCUACUACACUAGAGUUUAAUAUGUGGGAGGUAGAUGUCAGAAUUAUUAGAGUAGAGAUGAAAUCCUUUGAUACUAAUAGGACUGAUAACGGCGAAGGCAAACCUCUAUGUAUAUGUACUUUAACUAUAAUUCUAUGAAAAGUUAAACUAUAAAGUUAAAUUGGAUUAAGAAUUGAUAAUAUGGUGUUUUUAUUGAAACAAAACAUUGAGCUAAAUAAGUUAAGUACUAAACUGACGUUGAGGGACGAAGGCUCAGAGAGUGAAGAGGAUUAGAUACCCCCGUAGCCUGGGCAGACAAUGAUGAGUGCCAUAGGUUGGCUUUAAGUUGAACUAUAAAUGAAAGUGGAAGCACUCCACCUCAAGAGUAAUGUGGCAACGCAGGAACUGAAAUCAUUAGACCGUUUCUGAAACCAGUAGUGAAGUAUGUUAUUUAAUUCGAUAAUCCGCGAAUAACCUUACCACAAUUUGAAUGUUCUAGUUUUUAUAUAGUGAAUUGUAUGGUUACUAUACGGUUUAUCCUUAAUAAUAACCAGAUAUUGUCAGUAUAUUCUCUAGAUCACAUGCGUUGCAUGGCUGUCUUCAGUUAAUGUCGUGAGAUUUGGUUAGGUCCAUUAAAUUAACGUAAACCCUUGUUUUAUUUAAUAGAAUAAGACAGCUCUCCGCUUACAAUUGGAUUGGAUAACAGGGACUAAGACAAGUCAUCAUGGCCUUAAUAUUGUGGGCUAUAGACGUGCCACAUGUGCCUUUACAAAGGGAUGCAAUAAUGCGAAU